GAGCCCGUUGGUCAAGUGGUUAAGACACCGCCCUUUCACGGCGGUAACACGGGUUCGAAUCCCGUACGGGUCA
rnacentral:tRNA from 1 species